rnacentral:rRNA from 1 species
GACGAACGCUGGCGGCGUGCUUAACACAUGCAAGUCGAACGGAAAGGCUUUGCUUUUGUGGUGUGCUCGAGUGGCGAAAGGGUGAGUAACACGCGAGUAACCCGCCCUCUACUUUGGGAUAACUUCAGGAAACUGGGGCUAAUACCGUAUAUGCGCUCCUGCUGCAUGGUGUGGUUUGUAAAGUUUCGUCGGUUGGGGAUGGAUUCGCGGCCUAUCAGCUGGUUGGUGGGGGAGUGGCUUACCAAGGCGUUGACGGGUAGCCGGCCUGAGAGGGUGACCGGCCACACGGGGACUGAGACACGGCCCGGACGCCUACGGGAGGCAGCAGUGGGGAAGAGUGAACAAUGGGCGGAAGCCUGAUGCAGCGACGCCGCGUGAGGGAGGACGGCCUUCGGGUUGUAAACAUCUUACAGCAAGGAAGAAGCGAAAGUGACGGUACGUGCAGAAGAAGCGCCGGCUAACUACGUG